rnacentral:rRNA from 1 species
UACGAAGGGUGCAAGCGUUACUCGGAAUUACUGGGCGUAAAGCGUGCGUAGGUGGUUUGUUAAGUCUGUUGUGAAAGCCCCGGGCUCAACCUGGGAAUGGCAAUGGAUACUGGCAAGCUAGAGUGCGGUAGAGGGUAGUGGAAUUCCCGGUGUAGCGGUGAAAUGCGUAGAGAUCGGGAGGAACACCAGUGGCGAAGGCGGCUACCUGGACCAGCACUGACACUGAGGCACGAAAGCGUGGGGAGCGAUCCGG